rnacentral:rRNA from 1 species
AUUGAACGCUGGCGGCAGGCCUAACACAUGCAAGUCGAACGGUAACAGGAAGCAGCUUGCUGCUUUGCUGACGAGUGGCGGACGGGUGAGUAAUGUCUGGGAAACUGCCUGAUGGAGGGGGAUAACUACUGGAAACGGUAGCUAAUACCGCAUAACGUCGCAAGACCAAAGAGGGGGACCUUAGGGCCUCUUGCCAUCGGAUGUGCCCAGAUGGGAUUAGCUAGUAGGUGGGGUAACGGCUCACCUAGGCGACGAUCCCUAGCUGGUCUGAGAGGAUGACCAGCCACACUGGAACUGAGACACGGUCCAGACUCCUACGGGAGGCAGCAGUGGGGAAUAUUGCACAAUGGGCGCAAGCCUGAUGCAGCCAUGCCGCGUGUAUGAAGAAGGCCUUCGGGUUGUAAAGUACUUUCGGCGGGGAGGAAGGGAGUAAAGUUAAUACCUUGGCUCAUUGACGUUACCCGCAGAAGAAGCACCGGCUAACUCCGUG